rnacentral:rRNA from 1 species
GAUGAACGCUGGCGGCGUGCCUAAUACAUGCAAGUCGAGCGGCAGCGCGAAUAGUUUACUAUUUGGCGGCGAGCGGCGGACGGCUGAGUAACGCGUAGGAACGUACCCCAAAGUGAGGGAUAAGCACCAGAAAUGGUGUCUAAUACCGCAUGUGCUCUAAGGAGUAAAGCUUCGGCGCUUUGGGAACGGCCUGCGUUAGAUUAGCUUGUUGGUGAGGUAAAAGCUCACCAAGGCGACGAUCUAUAGCUGGUCUGAGAGGAUGAUCAGCCAGACUGGGACUGAGACACGGCCCAGACUCCUACGGGAGGCUG